rnacentral:rRNA from 1 species
GAUGAACGCUGGCGGCGUGCCUAAUACAUGCAAGUCGAGCGAACGGACGAGAAGCUUGCUUCUCUGAUGUUAGCGGCGGACGGGUGAGUAACACGUGGAUAACCUACCUAUAAGACUGGGAUAACUUCGGGAAACCGGAGCUAAUACCGGAUGAUAUUUUGAACCGCAUGGUUCAAAAGUGAAAGACGGUCUUGCUGUCACUUAUAGAUGGAUCCGCGCUGCAUUAGCUAGUUGGUAAGGUAACGGCUUACCAAGGCAACGAUGCAUAGCCGACCUGAGAGGGUGAUCGGCCACACUGGAACUGAGACACGGUCCAGACUCCUACGGGAGGCAGCAGUAGGGAAUCUUCCGCAAUGGGCGAAAGCCUGACGGAGCAACGCCGCGUGAGUGAUGAAGGUCUUCGGAUCGUAAAACUCUGUUAUUAGGGAAGAACAGAUGUGUAAGUAACUGUGCAUAUCUUGACGGUACCUAAUCAGAAAGCCACGGCUAACUACGUG